AACGAACGCUGGCGGCAGGCCUAACACAUGCAAGUCGAGCGAGAUCUUCGGGUCUAGCGGCGGACGGGGGAGUAACGCGUGGGAAUAUGCCCUUCUCUGCGGAAUAGCCUCGGGAAACUGAGCGUAAUACCGCAUACGCUCUUACGGGGAAAGAGUUAUGGGAGCAGGAUUAGCCCGCGUUGGAUUAGGUGGUUGGUGGGGUAACGGCCUACCAAGCCGACGAUCCAUAGCUGGUGGGAGAGGAUGAUCAGCCACACUGGGACUGGGACACGGCCCAGACUCCUACGGGAGGCAGCAGUGGGGAAUCUUAGACAAGGGGGGCAACGCUGAUCUAGCCAUGCCGCGUGAGUGAUGAAGGCCUUAGGGUUGUAAAGCUCUUGCAGCUGGGAAGAUGAUGACGGUACCAGCAGAAGAAGCCCCGGCUAACUCCGUG
rnacentral:rRNA from 1 species